rnacentral:rRNA from 1 species
AGAGUUUGAUCCUGGCUCAGGAUGAACGCUGGCGGCGUGCCUAAUACAUGCAAGUCGAGCGAACGGACGAGAAGCUUGCUUCUCUGAUGUUAGCGGCGGACGGGUGAGUAACACGUGGAUAACCUACCUAUAAGACUGGGAUAACUUCGGGAAACCGGAGCUAAUACCGGAUAAUAUUUUGAACCGCAUGGUUCAAAAGUGAAAGACGGUCUUGCUGUCACUUAUAGAUGGAUCCGCGCUGCAUUAGCUAGUUGGUAAGGUAACGGCUUACCAAGGCAACGAUGCAUAGCCGACCUGAGAGGGUGAUCGGCCACACUGGAACUGAGACACGGUCCAGACUCCUACGGGAGGCAGCAGUAGGGAAUCUUCCGCAAUGGGCGAAAGCCUGACGGAGCAACGCCGCGUGAGUGAUGAAGGUCUUCGGAUCGUAAAACUCUGUUAUUAGGGAAGAACAUAUGUGUAAGUAACUGUGCACAUCUUGACGGUACCUAAUCAGAAAGCCACGGCUAACUACGUGCCAGCAGCCGCGGUAAUACGUAGGUGGCAAGCGUUAUCCGGAAUUAUUGGGACGUAAAGCGCGCGUAGGCGGUUUUUUUAAGUCUGAUGUGAAAGCCCACGGCUCAACCGUGGAGGGUCAUUGGAAACUGGAAAACUUGAGUGCAGAAGAGGAAAGUGGAAUUCCAUGUGUAGCGGUGAAAUGCGCAGAGAUAUGGAGGAACACCAGUGGCGAAGGCGACUUUCUGGUCUGUAACUGACGCUGAUGUGCGAAAGCGUGGGGAUCAAACAGGAUUAGAUACCCUGGUAGUCCACGCCGUAAACGAUGAGUGCUAAGUGUUAGGGGGUUUCCGCCCCUUAGUGCUGCAGCUAACGCAUUAAGCACUCCGCCUGGGGAGUACGACCGCAAGGUUGAAACUCAAAGGAAUUGACGGGGACCCGCACAAGCGGUGGAGCAUGUGGUUUAAUUCGAAGCAACGCGAAGAACCUUACCAAAUCUUGACAUCCUUUGACAACUCUAGAGAUAGAGCCUUCCCCUUCGGGGGACAAAGUGACAGGUGGUGCAUGGUUGUCGUCAGCUCGUGUCGUGAGAUGUUGGGUUAAGUCCCGCAACGAGCGCAACCCUUAAGCUUAGUUGCCAUCAUUAAGUUGGGCACUCUAAGUUGACUGCCGGUGACAAACCGGAGGAAGGUGGGGAUGACGUCAAAUCAUCAUGCCCCUUAUGAUUUGGGCUACACACGUGCUACAAUGGACAAUACAAAGGGCAGCGAAACCGCGAGGUCAAGCAAAUCCCAUAAAGUUGUUCUCAGUUCGGAUUGUAGUCUGCAACUCGACUACAUGAAGCUGGAAUCGCUAGUAAUCGUAGAUCAGCAUGCUACGGUGAAUACGUUCCCGGGUCUUGUACACACCGCCCGUCACACCACGAGAGUUUGUAACACCCGAAGCCGGUGGAGUAACCUUUUAGGAGCUAGCCGUCGAAGGUGGGACAAAUGAUUGGGGUGAAGUCGUAACAAGGUAGCCGUAUCGGAAGGUGCGGCUGGAUCACCU